UCUUUUUGGGGCGUGAUACAGCAAUCAGCAGUGAUGGUGGUGAGUGGGGAUUUUGAAAGUGGCUCAGCAGCCCUGGGCACGUGGGUUUAUUUUGUAUUCUCCUUAUUCCUUGAUUUCUAAUGAUCCUCAGUAAAUCUCAUAAAAUAGUCAUUUCAUUAUUUGAGAUAUACAUUUGCCUUUUACACAGGGGAUAGGGUACACGUCCAGAUUCUGCUCCAGAGGGGGCAGCCUGAGGCUCUCUCCCUUGGGUGCUGCUUCUCUGGCUGUAAACUUGUGAAAAUGUGGUGCUUGGAACUGAGCCCAUGCGUGAGGCGGUCCAAGACUGUUGGGGGGGGGGGGGUGAUUUGAGGGUUUCUUUUGCUUCCGGGCCGUAGUCCUGCUGGUGUCCUUGAGAUGUCACGCUUGGUGGCUUCCAGGCUGGGGAGGGUCACUUUCCCUCUGCCAUUACUCCUGGGCCCUAGAGCGCUGCAGAGACUCCAAAGGACCGUCUCUCAACCCAAAGAUCCGCCCAGGAUUGAACAAAUUGCUGAAGACUUUCCAGACUGGGACACAGAGCUGGAUGGACGUCCAGUCUGUUCAAGUAGGGCAUCUCCCUGCAGGGGCUCCGUGAACUGGGCCAACUGCUGAGCAGGCAGACACGGAUGUGUCUCCAGCGUUUGAUGGGGGGUUAAAAAGCAGCCUGGCUCUGAAGAAGCUCCCAUCUAGAGCAAAGUGACCCUGUGGCCAAGACUCAGCGUCCUUCAGACUCCCCUUGUCCAGAAGGCUCCUGCGACCCCCAGCCUUUGCAUCAUUCCUUCCCUGGGCCCCAGAGCCACAGCCUGUGGUGGCAGACAAUUCUGCAAAAAGGUAUGGCCUGGGCAGAAGGAAGAUGCUGGAUCUGCUGGCCGCUUAGACCCCUCACUAGCUUCGGCUUCACGUGUCAUCUCAGCAAGACAUCUCACCAUCUCCCUGCUACUGCUCAGCCUUCCUCAACUCUUUUCAAACAAAAUGCCCCUCCUCACUCCCUGCCCUCUGUGCCUUGUCUUCCCCUAGCAGGGGGCAAAGGGAAUAAACACUCAUUAAGUUCUUAAGAGUACAUAAAGUGCCAGGAAUCAGGAAGACCUGAGUUCAAAUCUAGCUUCAGACACUUAUUGGCUUUGUGGCUCCGGGUAAUCCUGUCAGCCUCAUCUGUAAAAUGAGCUGAAGAGGGAAAUGGCGAGCCAUUCCAGUGUCUUUGCCAAGAAGACUCCAAAUGGGGUCCCCAAGAAUCGGAUAUGAUUGAAUGACAACAAGUAGUUCCGAAAUGAUAUCCCAGGCAGAGUGUUAAGCUUUGAGCAAACAUGGCAUUUAAUCUUCACAACAACCCUGUGAGGCGCACGCAUUUAUUGAAGAAAUAAAGGUAGAUAAUGAUGAAAAGACUUGUCCAGGAUCACAUAACUAGUAAGUGACUGAAGCGAGAUUUGAACUUGGCCCUUUUAUCAGCACUCUGUUCACUGCCCCAUUUAGCUGCUUAGCCGAAUGUAUGCUUACUGAGGGCAGGGACUGUCUCCUUCCAAAAUAUCAGCAUCUCUUAGCACUUCCACAUGGUGUCUGGCACAUUUCAUAAAGGAUCAUUCAUUCAUUCAUUCAUUCAUUCAUUUCAUUCAUUCAUUCAAUGAACAGGGCUUUACACAGUGCCCCAGCAGUGGGCAGAAACAAUUGUUCAUUCCUGACAGUUGUUUGCCUACUAGUACAGUGGGAAAUACACUGACACUGAGGUCCAAGGACUUGGGUUCAAAUUCUACCCCUGAUGGUUGUUUCCUCUGAGAUAGUGAGGAUUCCCAGGCUUUGUGCUUGUAGGUAAAAUGAGGUCAGAUUAGACAUCCUCUGUGGCCCCUUCUGGCUCAGCUCCAUGAUCUAACCCAGCCCAUGAUCCAUGUAGCUGAAUGGAGCAUCAUUAGUAAAUUAGAGAGUUGGAGGCCUAUUUUUAAGGGGACGCCUGAUGACAUAGAGGACUUCCUGCAAUGCCAGCCCCCCAACUGCUGGCUCUCCCCACCACCCCCACCAUCCCUGACAUGAUGGGUCUCACCACUCAGCUGCUCCUCUUGGGUUAGGGAUCAGAAAAGGAAAACAUUCCGGAGUCCUCGGUCAUGGAUGUCUCAGGUGAGCGCCUUAUCACUCCUUUUCACGGGAGAGCGGGCAGCAGAUUUUAGUGAAGACAAGCCAUUUGCAGUCAGCAUUUAUUUACUAAGACCCCACUGCUCUGACGGGGAGCCUGGGGCAGGGGGUCACAGAGCGGGAAGGCAUAUGGAGUCCAUUGGGUUCCAUCCCUCCUGGAUUCAAUCCCUAGAACUUGGCCAUUUCUACUCUUCACCACCUCCAGCGAUGGAGAACCCACUGAGGAGUCUGCUUUUGGGCAACCCUAAUUCUAGGGGGCAGUUCCUAAGGGGCAGCAAGGGCCCUGAGGUCAGUGGGAAGGCACUGAAGGCCAGCUUCACCUGGCUGUCUUCUAUGCCUGGGAGAAGACUCGGCCUGAGCAUGGCAGCAGAGAGUCUCCAGGUGGCUCCUGGGAGAUGCUGUGGUUUCGGGUUUUCAGCAGUGACAGCUGCCAUUUUCUCCCUGAAGAACUUGGUUCUAAGCCUGUGAAGCACACCAGGGCUCACCCAUCAAUGGUGGCAAUGUCAAUGGGGUCCUUGAAGCUUGGUGACCUCACAAUCAUUGCCGAGAGCCUGGGCCUGGGUUCCGGAAUCUUGGCCUCACUUAUCUCUACUUCACUGGAAUGGAGGAAAGUAAGAGGGUACCCCUUCACCCCAUCUAUUCCUCUCUUUGCUCUGAUCCUCCCCUACUCAAGUUGGGAUUGCUGGGCUGGGCUUGGGUGGGUCCAGACUUGAUGGGGCAGGAUGUUUCAUGACCCUUCAGUCUACCUAUUCUCCAGUCCCUCUCCUGAUGCCUGGGCCCACCCUAUCCAGCUCUCUCUUGAGCUCCACUGGGUCUGCCUACCCAGAGACGUCCCUCCCCAGGUCUCUCUCUCUCCCUUUCUCUUGUAGAGCCUUGUUUGAGAAGCUGAGAUGGGGACAUUGACCCCCCUUGCAGCUGAGGGAGAUCCGCAAGGGCAGAAAGCCCUACGGAAGAGUUGGACUCCAGAGUGGCUGAGGCAGGAUCAGGAGCCUGGGAGGAAAUUACCACCUACCUACCCAGAAGGGCAGGACAAGCUGGAGUGGGAGGGGGAAAUAGAUAUCUAUAUCCCCACUCCCUGUCCCCAGGACCUGCCUCUGUGGGCUUGGAAAGAAAGCCCUCAGGAAGGUUCCACAUGGACUCCCUCCAGCUCCUUGCGUAGACGGCCCAAGUCCCCCCAACUUCAUCUGCCCAGGGCAGCUCAUAUCUUCAAGGGCUCAGGAGCUCAGGAGAGGUUCAGCUCCUUUGGCUCUCUGCCCUCCACCUGGGAGCAACAAGGAAGCUUUUCCAGGCCCUACUCAUGGGCCCACCAAAACCUCCUGCCUCUUCGAAAGUUGGCCCCUUUGGGGACUCCUUGCCCUCUCCCCCAAGCCAUCUCCCCACCCCACGGCUGGAAUCCGAUUAAGUCUCUGCCUCCCAGAAGGCUGGCCCCUCUAAGGCUUCCUUAUCCUCAGCCCCAGCCCACCUUGACCCUCAAAGGUAGCCUCAGGACAUGCCAGAGCCCCUGCAAGCGGCCACCUAACAGAUUGGCUCCUUUAGAGGUGUAUCAAAGAGGCUUCACGCCAGCCCCGUCCACACCUCCCCACUCAGACGUCCGGAUACCCUUCACUCCCACUUGAUGUUUCCCAUUCCUAAAUGAUGUAGAAAAAUAAAAAUAAAAUUUCCUAA